UGCGUAGGCGGAUUAAUAAGUCAGUGGUGAAAACCUUCAGCUUAACUGGAGACUUGCCAUCGAUACUGUUAGUCUUGAGUACGGUCAAGGUAGGCGGAAUGUGUAAUGUAGCGGUGAAAUGCUUAGAUAUUACACAGAACACCGAUUGCGAAGGCAGCUUACUGGGCCAUUACUGACGCUGAGGCACGAAAGCGUGGGGAGCGAACAGGAUUAGAUACCCUGGUAGUCC
rnacentral:rRNA from 1 species